rnacentral:rRNA from 1 species
GAAAUAGAACCUGAAACCGUGUGCUUACAAGUAGUCAGAGCCCGUUAAUGGGUGAUGGCGUGCCUUUUGUAGAAUGAACCGGCGAGUUACGAUUUGAUGCAAGGUUAAGCAGUAAAUGUGGAGCCGUAGCGAAAGCGAGUCUGAAUAGGGCGUUUAGUAUUUGGUCGUAGACCCGAAACCAGGUGAUCUACCCUUGGUCAGGUUGAAGUUCAGGUAACACUGAAUGGAGGACCGAACCGACUUACGUUGAAAAGUGAGCGGAUGAACUGAGGGUAGCGGAGAAAUUCCAAUCGAACCUGGAGAUAGCUGGUUCUCUCCGAAAUAGCUUUAGGGCUAGCCUCAAGUGAUGAUUAUUGGAGGUAGAGCACUGUUUGGACGAGGGGCCCCUCUCGGGUUACCGAAUUCAGACAAACUCCGAAUGCCAAUUAAUUUAACUUGGGAGUCAGAACAUGGGUGAUAAGGUCCGUGUUCGAAAGGGAAACAGCCCAGACCACCAGCUAAGGUCCCAAAAUAUAUGUUAAGUGGAAAAGGAUGUGGCGUUGCCCAGACAACUAGGAUGUUGGCUUAGAAGCAGCCAUCAUUUAAAGAGUGCGUAAUAGCUCACUAGUCGAGUGACACUGCGCCGAAAAUGUACCGGGGCUAAACAUAUUACCGAAGCUGUGGAUUGUCCUUUGGACAAUGGUAGGAGAGCGUUCUAAGGGCGUUGAAGCAUGAUCGUAAGGACAUGUGGAGCGCUUAGAAGUGAGAAUGCCGGUGUGAGUAGCGAAAGACGGGUGAGAAUCCCGUCCACCGAUUGACUAAGGUUUCCAGAGGAAGGCUCGUCCGCUCUGGGUUAGUCGGGUCCUAAGCUGAGGCCGACAGGCGUAGGCGAUGGAUAACAGGUUGAUAUUCCUGUACCACCUAUAAUCGUUUUAAUCGAUGGGGGGACGCAGUAGGAUAGGCGAAGCGUGCGAUUGGAUUGCACGUCUAAGCAGUAAGGCUGAGUAUUAGGCAAAUCCGGUACUCAUUAAGGCUGAGCUGUGAUGGGGAGAAGACAUUGUGUCUUCGAGUCGUUGAUUUCACACUGCCGAGAAAAGCCUCUAGAUAGAAAAUAGGUGCCCGUACCGCAAACCGACACAGGUAGUCAAGAUGAGAAUUCUAAGGUGAGCGAGCGAACUCUCGUUAAGGAACUCGGCAAAAUGACCCCGUAACUUCGGGAGAAGGGGUGCUCUUUAGGGUUAACGCCCAGAAGAGCCGCAGUGAAUAGGCCCAAGCGACUGUUUAUCAAAAACACAGGUCUCUGCUAAACCGUAAGGUGAUGUAUAGGGGCUGACGCCUGCCCGGUGCUGGAAGGUUAAGAGGAGUGGUUAGCUUCUGCGAAGCUACGAAUCGAAGCCCCAGUAAACGGCGGCCGUAACUAUAACGGUCCUAAGGUAGCGAAAUUCCUUGUCGGGUAAGUUCCGACCCGCACGAAAGGCGUAACGAUUUGGGCACUGUCUCAACGAGAGACUCGGUGAAAUCAUAGUACCUGUGAAGAUGCAGGUUACCCGCGACAGGACGGAAAGACCCCGUGGAGCUUUACUGUAGCCUGAUAUUGAAAUUCGGCACAGCUUGUACAGGAUAGGUAGGAGCCUUUGAAACGUGAGCGCUAGCUUACGUGGAGGCGCUGGUGGGAUACUACCCUAGCUGUGUUGGCUUUCUAACCCGCACCACUUAUCGUGGUGGGAGACAGUGUCAGGCGGGCAGUUUGACUGGGGCGGUCGCCUCCUAAAAGGUAACGGAGGCGCUCAAAGGUUCCCUCAGAAUGGUUGGAAAUCAUUCAUAGAGUGUAAAGGCAUAAGGGAGCUUGACUGCGAGACCUACAAGUCGAGCAGGGUCGAAAGACGGACUUAGUGAUCCGGUGGUUCCGCAUGGAAGGGCCAUCGCUCAACGGAUAAAAGCUACCCCGGGGAUAACAGGCUUAUCUCCCCCAAGAGUUCACAUCGACGGGGAGGUUUGGCACCUCGAUGUCGGCUCAUCGCAUCCUGGGGCUGUAGUCGGUCCCAAGGGUUGGGCUGUUCGCCCAUUAAAGCGGUACGCGAGCUGGGUUCAGAACGUCGUGAGACAGUUCGGUCCCUAUCCGUCGUGGGCGUAGGAAAUUUGAGAGGAGCUGUCCUUAGUACGAGAGGACCGGGAUGGACAUACCUCUGGUGUACCAGUUGUCGUGCCAACGGCAUAGCUGGGUAGCUAUGUGUGGACGGGAUAAGUGCUGAAAGCAUCUAAGCAUGAAGCCCCCCUCAAGAUGAGAUUUCCCAACUUCGGUUAUAAGAUCCCUCAAAGAUGAUGAGGUUAAUAGGUUCGAGGUGGAAGCAUGGUGACAUGUGGAGCUGACGAAUACUAAUCGAUCGAAGACUUAAUCAAA